UACGUAGGGGGCAAGCGUUGUCCGGAUUUACUGGGCGUAAAGAGCGCGUAGGCGGAAGCUUAAGCGGUGCCUGAAAGCCCCCGGCUCAACCGGGGAGGGUGGUGCCGAACUGGGCUUCUUGAGGGCGAUAGAGGAGAGUGGAAUUCCGGGUGUAGCGGUGAAAUGCGUAGAUAUCGGGAGGAACACCUGUGGCGAAAGCGGCUCACUGGACCACAACUGACGCUGAGGCGCGAAAGCUAGGGGAGCAAACAGG
rnacentral:rRNA from 1 species